UCCUAGUUAACCUAGGCAGUCUCAUUAGAGUUCCCACCAUUACGUGUUGGCAACUAAUGACAAGGGUUGCGCUCGUUGCUGGACUUAACCAAACACCUCACGGCACGAGCUGACGACAGCCAUGCAGCACCUGUUCAGAGGCCCCGAAGGGAGAUCCCAUUUCUGGGACUGUCCUCUGUAUGUCAAAUCUGGGUAAGGUUCUUCGCGUUGCAUCGAAUUAAACCACAUGCUCCACUGCUUGUGCGGGUCCCCGUCAAUUCUUUUGAGUUUCACCCUUGCGAGCGUACUCCCCAGGCGGUACACUUAUCGCGUUAGCUACGGCACAAUCGGGGUUGAAUCCAAUUACACCUAGUGUACAUCGUUUAAGGCAAGGACUAC
rnacentral:misc_RNA from 1 species